AUGGGAACAAAAUGCCCUCUGAAUAAUCUAGAACAAGGAGUUAUUUUUUUUUCUUAUCAUUUUUCAGUUAGCACACGUAUUAAGCACAACAUAUCUAAAACAAACAAGCUAUCUGCCCAUGCAAAUGACAGUAAUGUGCACUUUUUCGCUGAUCAGUUUCUUAGGGUAGAUCAGUUUUUUCUAAGGUUAGAUCAUACAUGUGCUAACUAUGUGUUCUAUGAGGCUAGAUCAUACAAAGGUUGGAUGCACUUCUAUUAUUUACAACAACACAAUGUUGUCUCUGUGUUGUUGUACAUAUGGUUUGCAAGAUAG
rnacentral:rRNA from 1 species